AUCGAUGAAGAACGCAGCGAAAUGCGAUAAGUAAUGUGAAUUGCAGAAUUCAGUGAAUCAUCGAAUCUUUGAACGCACAUUGCGCCCUCUGGUAUUCCGGGGGGCAUGCCUGUUCGAGCGUCAUUACAACCCUCAAGCUCUGCUUGGUAUUAGGCCUUACCUGCUACAGGCAGGCCGUAAAAUCAGUGGCGGUGCCAUUCGGCUUCAAGCGUAGUAAUUCUUCUCGCUUCGGAGUACCGGUUGCGUGCCUGCUAUAAAACCCCAAUUUAUCAAAGGUUGACCUCGGAUCAGGUAGGGAUACCCGCUGAACUUAAGCAUAUCAAUAAGCGGAGGAAAAGAAACCAACAGGGAUUGCCUUAGUAACGGCGAGUGAAGCGGCAACAGCUCAAAUUUGAAAUCUGUCUCUUUUAGAGUCCGAGUUGUAAUUUGUAGAGGAUGUUUCGGGCGUGGUCCGGUCUAAGUUCCUUGGAACAGGACGUCAUAGAGGGUGAGAAUCCCGUAUGCGACUGGGUGCCUAAGCUCAUGUGAAACUCCUUCGACGAGUCGAGUUGUUUGGGAAUGCAGCUCAAAAUGGGUGGUAAAUUUCAUCUAAAGCUAAAUAUUGGCCAGAGACCGAUAGCGCACAAGUAGAGUGAUCGAAAGAUGAAAAGCACUUUGGAAAGAGAGUUAAACAGUACGUGAAAUUGUUGAAAGGGAAGCGCUUGCAACCAGACUUGCAUUCAGUUGAUCAUCCGGCGUUUUCACCGGUGCACUCGAUUGUUUUCAGGCCAGCAUCGGUUUUGGUGGUUGGAUAAAGGCCUUGGGAAUGUAGCUUCUUUCGGGGAGUGUUAUAGCCCUCGGUGCAAUGCAGCCUACCGGGACCGAGGACCGCGCUUCGGCUAGGAUGCUGGCGUAAUGGUUGUAAGCGACCCGUCUUGAAACACGG
rnacentral:rRNA from 1 species